rnacentral:tRNA from 1 species
GCUCGGUUGGCGGAACUGGCAGACGCGCAAGUCUCAGAAGCUUGUGGGGUAACCCCCGUGGAGGUUCAAGUCCUCUACCGAGCA